UCAAUUGUCUUAUAAUUGAAGACUGGAAUGAAUGGUUGAACGAAAUUAAAACUGUUUCAUUUAUAUUAAUUAGAAAUUGGUUUUUAAAUGAAGAGAUUUAAAUUUAAUUAAUAGACAAGAAGACCCUAUUGAGCUUUAAAUAACUUUAAAAUUAAAAAUUUAUUAUUAAAGAUUUGAGUUUUAAAUGUUUUUUGGUUGGGGCGACUAAGGAACAGAAAAAGCUUCCUUUAUUUAUUAAAUUGAUAGAUUUUGAUCCAGUAUUAAACUGAUUGACAAAGAUAGUUACCAUAGGGAUAACAGCAUAAUCUUCUUGGAGAGUUCUUAUCAAAAAGGAGGUUUGUGACCUCGAUGUUGGAUUAAAAUAUCCUAAAGGUGUA
rnacentral:rRNA from 1 species